CGCCCAGGCUUGAGUGCAGUGGCGGGAUCUCGGCUCACUGAACCCUAACAAGAGCGGGAAGUAGAUGCUUCAGUUUGUCUGCCAUUCUUAUUAGAGAAGAGAGAAUGUCACAUUAAAAGGACGUCGUGAAAUACAGGAACACUGAAUUUCUUGGCAUCUGUGAGAUGAGUCAUGCAUUUUAUAGGCACAGAAAUUGAAAGAGGAGUGACUCGCGUACGGCCAGAUGGCAAGCCCAGGAAUACGGUGAGCCCAGCACCACAGGGCUGCCCAGAACGACUUGGCCUGCUGCCCUUCCUCUUGUCCCUCCGCUGCAGUAGGUGUAAAUGUCAGUAAAGAAAGCAAGUGUGGCUCAUUGAGAGGAAAUGUGACACAAGCCAAGAGUUCACAGCGCUUGAAGCGGUAAAGGCAGAUCCAGGUUGAGGAUCUGUUCUGCCCAGUUGAUGAUGAAAUACCAACAGUGGAUUUCCUUCUUCUCGCCUGCUCCUGUCCCUGCUUGCCUCUGAAAGUCAGCCAGCACACUUUCCUCAGCAAAUGGAUGGUGGGUUCUGCGAAAAACAAUGUUAUAAUAAAAACAGAAAAGGUUAACCAUGCCAUUGGCUCUGGCUACCUUAAAGGGUUUUCGUCUCUAAGCUAGAAGACAUGCUUCCUUAUACUUUCCCUGUCGGGAUGGGGCAUUUUACUUGUCAUCCAUAGAAAUUCUCCUACUUUCAAGAGUGUAAAUU